GGGGCUAAACCAUGCACCGAAGCUGCGGCAGCGACACUCAGGUGUUGUUGGGUAGGGGAGCGUUCUGUAAGCCUGCGAAGGUGGCCUGUGAGGGUUGCUGGAGGUAUCAGAAGUGCGAAUGCUGACAUAAGUAACGAUAAAGCGGGUGAAAAGCCCGCUCGCCGGAAGACCAAGGGUUCCUGUCCAACGUUAAUCGGGGCAGGGUGAGUCGACCCCUAAGGCGAGGCCGAAAGGCGUAGUCGAUGGGAAACGGGUUAAUAUUCCCGUACUUGGUGUUACUGCGAAGGGGGGACGGAGAAGGCUAUGUUGGCCGGGCGACGGUUGUCCCGGUUUAAGCGUGUAGGUGUGUGUUCCAGGUAAAUCCGGUUCACUUUAACACUGAGGCGUGACGACGAGGCACUACGGUGCUGAAGCAACAAAUGCCCUGCUUCCAGGAAAAGCCUCUAAGCAUCAGGUAACGUCAAAUCGUACCCCAAACCGACACAGGUGGUCAGGUAGAGAAUACCAAGGCGCUUGAGAGAACUCGGGUGAAGGAACUAGGCAAAAUGGUGCCGUAACUUCGGGAGAAGGCACGCUGACACGUAGGUGAAGUGAUUUACUCACGGAGCUGAAGUCAGUCGAAGAUACCAGCUGGCUGCAACUGUUUAUUAAAAACACAGCACUGUGCAAACACGAAAGUGGACGUAUACGGUGUGACGCCUGCCCGGUGCCGGAAGGUUAAUUGAUGGGGUCAGCGCAAGCGAAGCUCCUGAUCGAAGCCCCGGUAAACGGCGGCCGUAACUAUAACGGUCCUAAGGUAGCGAAAUUCCUUGUCGGGUAAGUUCCGACCUGCACGAAUGGCGUAAUGAUGGCCAGGCUGUCUCCACCCGAGACUCAGUGAAAUUGAACUCGCUGUGAAGAUGCAGUGUACCCGCGGCAAGACGGAAAGACCCCGUGAACCUUUACUAUAGCUUGACACUGAACAUUGAGCCUUGAUGUGUAGGAUAGGUGGGAGGCUUUGAAGUGUGG
rnacentral:rRNA from 1 species